rnacentral:lncRNA from 1 species
CUUUUUAGCCCCUGCACAUUGGUGCAAAUGUGAGAACCGCAUCCAGCAUCUAAUACCCAUGAUACAGAAGUAGAUAAAUUAAUUUCAAUAACAAAAAUACCUGAAGUUGAAGUCUCUACUCCAUUCUUCUUAUCUUCCAUGUACUUUGGGCAGUUUCUCUUCCAGUGUCCGGUCUUACCACAAUGGAAGCAGACGCCUUCCUUUGCUAUGCCUCCAC